CGGACGGGUGAGUAACGCGUGGAAAACCUGCCGUAUACUGGGGGAUAACACUUAGAAAUAGGUGCUAAUACCGCAUAAGCGCACAGCUUCGCAUGAAGCGGUGUGAAAAACUCUGGUGGUAUACGAUGGUUCCGCGUCUGAUUAGCUAGUUGGUGGGGUAAUGGCCUACCAAGGCAACGAUCAGUAGCCGGCCUGAGAGGGUGAACGGCACAUUGGGACUGAGACACGGCCCAAACUCCUACGGGAGGCAGCAG
rnacentral:rRNA from 1 species